rnacentral:rRNA from 1 species
AUACGGAGGGUGCAAGCGUUAAUCGGAAUUACUGGGCGUAAAGCGUACGUAGGCGGUUUGUUAAGUUAGAUGUGAAAGCCCCGGGCUUAACCUGGGAACUGCAUUUAAAACUGGCAAACUAGAGUUGAGUAGAGGGGAGUGGAAUUUCAGGUGUAGCGGUGAAAUGCGUAGAGAUCUGAAGGAACACCAGUGGCGAAGGCGACUCCCUGGACUCAAACUGACGCUGAGGUACGAAAGCGUGGGUAGCAAACGGGAUUAGAAACCCUAGUAGUCC